GCGUCCUUAGUUCAGUUGGUAGAACGUCGGUCUCCAAAACCGGAUGUCGUGGGUUCAAGUCCUACAGGACGCG
rnacentral:tRNA from 1 species